rnacentral:rRNA from 2 species
UGGUGCUUGCAUCAUGAUUUACAUUUGAGUGAGUGGCGAACUGGUGAGUAACACGUGGGAAACCUGCCCAGAAGCGGGGGAUAACACCUGGAAACAGAUGCUAAUACCGCAUAACAACUUGGACCGCAUGGUCCGAGCUUGAAAGAUGGCUUCGGCUAUCACUUUUGGAUGGUCCCGCGGCGUAUUAGCUAGAUGGUGGGGUAACGGCUCACCAUGGCAAUGAUACGUAGCCGACCUGAGAGGGUAAUCGGCCACAUUGGGACUGAGACACGGCCCAAACUCCUACGGGAGGCAGCAGUAGGGAAUCUUCCACAAUGGACGAAAGUCUGAUGGAGCAACGCCGCGUGAGUGAAGAAGGGUUUCGGCUCGUAAAACUCUGUUGUUAAAGAAGAACAUAUAUCUGAGAGUAACUGUUCAGGUAUUGACGGUAUUUAACCAGAAAGCCACGGCUAACUACGUGCCAGCAGCCGCGGUCAUACGUA